UUCGGUGGUUGGUGGUGCAUGGCCGUUCUUAGUUCGUGGAUUGAUUUGUCUGCUUUAUUGCGAUAACGAACGAGACCGCAACCUCUAGAUAGUUCUCUGAUAGCUUUGUCAGUUGAACUUCCUAGUGGGAUAAGUGGCUCUAAGCCACACGACAAGCGGCAAUAACAGGUCUGUGAUGCCCUUCGAUGUCCGGGGCCGCACGCGCGCUACACUGGUAAGAUCAGCGCGUGUACCUUGACCGAAAGGUCUGGGUAAACUAUUGAAAACUUACCAUGAUUGGGAUCGGGCAUUGAAAUUAUUGCCCGUGAACGAGGAAUUCCCAGUAAACUUGAGUCAUCAGCUCAAAUUGAUUACGUCCCUGCCCUUUGUACACACCGCCCGUCGCUGCCCGGGACUGAGUUGCUUCGAGAAUUGCGGGGACCGACGCUGUGGGGUUUAACGACUCUACGGUAUUGGAAACCGCUGUAAUCGCAGUGGCUUGAACCGGGCAAAAGUCGUAACAAGGUAGGCGUACGUGU
rnacentral:rRNA from 1 species